AGCUCCAAUAGCGUAUAUUAAUUUUGUUGCAGUUAAAAAGCUCGUAGUUGGAUUUCUUUUAUGUUUUAGGGUCAAGAUGCUGCAGCCUUCUAGGCUUGCCAUCUUCCUAUUAUAUAAAAUAGUUUGUGAUUUCUGUAUUGGGUAGAUCGUUAGUUCUUCAUUGAAUUAUUGGUUAGCUCUUUACAUUAGGGAAUCGCAUCAUUUACUGUGAAAAAAUCAAAGCGUUCAAAGCAGGCUUUAAGCUCAUUGAAUGUCUCAGCAUGGAAUAAUAAGAUAGGUCUCAUCCUCAUUUUGUUGGUUUGCAAGGAAGAGAAAUGAUUAAAAGGGACAAUUGGGGGUAUUCGUAUUAGAUUGUCAGAGGUGAAAUUCUUGGAUUUAUUUAAGACGAACAACUGCGAAA
rnacentral:rRNA from 1 species